rnacentral:lncRNA from 1 species
CGGGAAACAGCUUGAAAUCACCAUCCAAACCCAGUAGAUUUGAGGUCCGCCGAGGUCAACGUUCGCAGCUCCGGUCGAUAUUUCAUUUUUGGUUCCGCCGCCAUACCGAGAUUCCCGUCAAUUAUUCGUUUGAAUAGUGUUGUCCGGGAUUCUGCUUUGUUUGAAGAUCCGUUUUGCUUUAUUUGCCUCUCCAAUUUAUAAUUGAAUCAGUUCUUGUGAAUUUCUUUUGAUUUCCUGGUUUGUCUAAUUUUAAUGAAUAUGCAUGUUUCCU